rnacentral:lncRNA from 1 species
GCCAUUAGUGUAUUUGCUUCGUUGUAUCUGACACCUCUGUUAUUAAGACCUGAUUCUCUCAGUGAUUCACCUCCCAGUUCUACCCAAGAAUAACAGUCAGUUUGCUGAACAGUCUGAAGAAAUCUUUAACGUUAUCCUUCUAUAGCUCCUGAUAAGUAGCAAAGUGUAAGUAUAUAAGAAACAGAGUGUGGCUGCUAUAUCACCUCCUCCUCUUGGAUUCUUUGGAAUGUGAAUGGAAGAAAUCAUCAAAGGGGAUAUCAUGCCUCCUUCCUGCCCAAACUGAUGACCUUUUUUGAAGAGGUGAAUUAGUUGGC